ACUGGGAUAACCCUGGGAAACUGGGGCUAAUACCGGAUAGGCAAUUAUUCUGCAAUGGUUUUUUGUUUAAAUGUUUUUUCGCCUAAGGAUGGGUCUGCGGCCGAUUAGGUAGUUGGUUAGGUAAUGGCUUACCAAGCCGUUGAUCGGUACGGGUUGUGAGAGCAAGAGCCCGGAGAUGGAACCUGAGACAAGGUUCCAGGCCCUACGGGGUGCAGCAGGCGCGAAACCUCCGCAAUGUGAGAAAUCGCGACGGGGGGAUCCCAAGUGCCGUUCUUAACGGGAUGGCUUUUCAUUAGUGUAAAGAGCUUUUGGAAUAAGAGCUGGGCAAGACCGGUGCCAGCCGCCGCGGUAACACCGGCAGCUCUAGUGGUAACAAUUUUUAUUGGGCCUAAAGCGUCCGUAGCCGGUUUAAUAAGUCUCUGGUGAAAUCCUGUAGCUUAACUGUGGGAAUUGCUGGAGAUACUAUUAGACUUGAGACCGGGAGAGGUUAGAGGUACUCCCAGGGUAGAGGUGAAAUUCUGUAAUCCUGGGAGGACCGCCUGUUGCGAAGGCGUCUAACUGGAACGGUUCUGACGGUGAGGGACGAAAGUUAGGGGCGCGAACCGGAUUAGAUACCCGGGUAGUCCUAACUGUAAACGAUGCGGACUUGGUGUUGGGGUGGCUUUGAGCUGCUCCAGUGCCGAAGGGAAGCUGUUAAGUCCGCCGCCUGGGAAGUACGGUCGCAAGACUGAAACUUAA
rnacentral:rRNA from 1 species